rnacentral:lncRNA from 1 species
GCUCCACCAAACCAGAAUUAGCCGGUAUCGCAGGAAUGAAAGAGCGUGGAGAUUUGAAAUUGCAGAGAAUGGAGACAAGGCGGUGCAGAGGACGAGCUGCCUGGGGGGCAGGCGGCCCCACAUCGGUGCCGCACUCCUAUGGAAAAUAAGCCCCAGGGAGGCGAGCAGGGGCGAGGCUGAGCUGGCGCGGGCGCUGAGCGGAGCCGGGCGCAGGUGGACAUCGGAGCCCGCGGCAGCCUCCGGGGUCCCGGAGCAGCGCCGCGGGUGGGGCUGACAGCAGCGCCGGGCGCCGAGGCGCGCAGGGACGGCGGCGCUGGCGGAGCCCGACGCGGGGCCUCUGACUGGCAGAGGUGGCUGGUGACCACAUCUCUGUGAAGUUGCUGACAGCUGAAGUGCUCGGCAUGCUAGCAAGUUUCUCUAGGAUUUCACAAUUGCAAAGAGUUCAUUUGGCUCCUCUGCUGUUCAUGAGCCUGUUCUUGGCAGUGCUGUGUGGGAAGAAGGUUGAAGGCAGGAAGAAAUACAUUCCCAAAAUGGUUUCCUCCAAAAAGAUGUGGUGA